CUUAAAAUUCUUCCUUGGAGAAAGCAAUUUCUUCUACCUCGCUCUAAAACUCGCAUCCCGACUCGUGUCUUAGCUCAGGUAACCAUGGCAGCAGCUGAGCCACCCAGUUCUGUUCGAAAAGUUGUUGUUCAUCUCAGAGCAACCGGGGACGCUCCCAUACUAAAGCAAGCCAAAUUCAAGAUACCUGGAACUGACAAAUUCGCUAAAGUAAUUGAUUUCCUACGCCGGCAACUGCACCGUGAUACAUUGUUUGUGUACGUCAAUAGUGCCUUCUCACCGAACCCAGAUGAAUUGGUGAUCGACCUAUAUAAUAAUUUCGGUUUUGAUGGUAAACUGGUGGUCAAUUAUGCCUGUUCUAUGGCAUGGGGCUAAGUCUCAAGAUGAUGGAUCUACUGAGAAUCUGAGAUAAAACUGUCAAUUAUCAAGGAUUCUUUCCUAGCGGGUACUAGCUUCUUACUUCCACACAAGCAAGGUAAUAUCAUGGGCGGUAUUCAAUAUCAACUUGUGAUAAUUGUUCAAUUCGUUAUCAUUGAUUUGUAAUUCAAGCCAAUGGGCUAACGAUAAUCACACCCUUUUGUUUGUGUUUUCUUAAUUAAAAAGAAAUCAUAGUUUGAGUUUGAAAAAAGGUUUCAGUUUGUCGACGUUAGGAUUCAAAUUCUAUUUUAGCGAUAAUGGUUUUGUCGUCGAAUAUAAAUUUCAGUGUUUGUAAUACAUGAGGACCA